rnacentral:lncRNA from 1 species
AAGACAUGUAAAGAUAUGAAAAAUAAUAAUAAAAAAAUUAACGAAUAAAGACAAUCAAGAUAAGUGUAGAAUCAAAUAUCUAAAAAUAAAUUGAUUAAUCUCAAUUUUAACUUUAACCUUAAUCUCAAAUUUGACCUUAAUUUUAACCUCUAUUUCAAUAUCAACCUUCAUUUUGAUAUCAACUUCAACUUUUGGAUCUUACAUCAAGGCUAAAACUACCAAAAGAUAAUAAUAAUAAUAAAAAAAAAAAAAAAAAAAAACUAUCAAAGAAUUAUUGAAAAUAUAAGAAUAGAUUCUAUAUAAAAGUAUAGAAGGAAUAUCUUAUAUUUCUUAUUGUAUUUGAAGUGAGAUAUUCACUUGAUACCAAUAAAAAUUGCAAGAAGAGAGAAGAAGGAGGAAGAAGGAGGAAGAAGGGGAGAAGAUAUCAAGAUAGUAGCAACCUUCGUACAAUAGUCUCAAUGGUUGGUUUAUAGAGGAGAUUAAGAGAUAAGGUCCUUAUAUGAGUUUUAGAAGGAAGAUCCUCUAGAACAAAAUAUUUCAAUUUAAAUUUUAUAUAGACCAAGUGAUUUUGUAAUUUUAAUAUUCUUUUUAAGAAUUCUAAACUUGCAAAUUCUGUGUCUCUUUCUAUGUCUUUUUCACU